GAUCCAGGUCCAGAAUUUUUCCCAAAGGUCCAGAAGCUAUUCUGUGGCUCAUCUAACUAUUUUACUUUUGCUCAGUCCUCAAGGCAGGAUUUCUUCCACGGAUCUUCAGUUUCUGCUUCUGUUCCAAGCUCAAACCUGGAAAGAAUAAUCUUUCUCACUUUGGAGCUGACUGAAAUUCAAAGGUGCAAACAUGUCAGUAAAAAUGAUGGGGAAAUAGCAUCUCCAUGCUGCAGAACCUCCCCAAAAGGCUCAGUUCCAGUUUGACUCAAGAAAUGACUCAUGGCGUGAGUGGGAGAAAUCUUGGACAUGAGACCCUUAAAGUUGAGAAAAGAGGGGAGAGGGACAUAUACCGUGUGUCCAGAGCAGCACAAUAAUCAUCUCUACCUCAAACUUACCAUGGGCUCUCACUCGUGAUGGUGCUGAUGCAGACUCCCGGCAGC